GGGUAGAGUCGGAUAUUGGGCGUAAGAGCUUGUAGGUGGUUUGUCGCGUCUGCUGUGAAAAUCCGAGGCUCAACCUCGGACUUGCAGUGGGUACGGGCAGACUAGAGUGUGGUAGGGGAGACUGGGAUUCCUGGUGUAGCGGUGGAAUGCGCAGAUAUCAGGAGGAACACCGAUGGCGAAGGCAGGUCUCUGGGCCAUUACUGACACUGAGAAGCGAAAGCAUGGGGAGCGAACAGGAUUAGAUACCCUGGUAGUCCAUGCCGUAAACGUUGGGAACUAGGUGUGGGUCUCAUUCCACGAGAUCCGUGCCGCAGCUAACGCAUUAAGUUCCCCGCCUGGGGAGUACGGCCGCAAGGCUAAAACUCAAAGGAAUUGACGGGGGCCCGCACAAGCGGCGGAGCAUGCGGAUUAAUUCGAUGCAACGCGAAGAACCUUACCAAGGCUUGACAUACACCGGAAUCACUCAGAGAUGGGUGCGUCUUCGGACUGGUGUACAGGUGGUGCAUGGUUGUCGUCAGCUCGUGUCGUGAGAUGUUGGGUUAAGUCCCGCAACGAGCGCAACCCUCGUUCUAUGUUGCCAGCACGUGAUGGUGGGGACUCAUAGGAGACUGCCGGGGUCAACUCGGAGGAAGGUGGGGAUGACGUCAAAUCAUCAUGCCCCUUAUGUCUUGGGCUUCACGCAUGCUACAAUGGCCGGUACAAAGGGCUGCGAUACCGCGAGGUGGAGCGAAUCCCAAAAAACCGGUCUCAGUUCGGAUUGGGGUCUGUAACUCGACCCCAUGAAGUCGGAGUCGCUAGUAAUCGCAGAUCCGCAACGCUGCGGUGAAUACGUUCCCGGGCCUUGUACACACCGCCCGUCAAGUCACGAAAGUCGGUAACACCCGAAGCCGGUGGCCCAACCCUUGUGGGGGGAGCCGUCGAAAGUGGGACUGGCGAUUGGGACUAAGUCGUAACAGGUAA
rnacentral:rRNA from 1 species